rnacentral:tRNA from 2 species
UGAGAAUUAGUUCAGGAGGCAAGAAUACUGGACAAUUAUCCAGGGACACAGGUUCGAGUCCUGUAUUCUCAA